rnacentral:misc_RNA from 1 species
ACCUGUAAGCUACGUGCCGUUUGUCGCAUCUUGUCGCGGGAGUGCGAUCGUGCGUGGAAUGUGCGUUCGCGACAUUACAAACACGUUGCAUACGAAAUGUAAAUAAUAAACGACGUGCUGGGCCAUUAAAUAAAAAGAUUGGCCGAGACUCUGUUUACUUUCGGGCGACAUCGUUUCAGUGAGUGUCCCCCACAUGAAUUACCGGUGAUACGUUUCUGACAGCGUGUUCGCAAUGGCCGAUGAGUCCUCUGCGUUGCCGAAGAGGCGGCAAUUGCGCGAAAGAACCAAGAAACUAUACACCGACGACUGGACUCUAGGGGAUGAGGAAAUCGAGGGUCGUAGAACGUUCCAGCUUGAUGAGAAGAUCGAAUGUGAUAGGUAUGACCUGAGCAACUUCAGCGGCCUCUUCCGAGAAAUGAAUGGCUCUGAAUUGAAUUUGGCAUAUUUGCAAAAAUAUGGGCUACAAAUACCAUUGUUAUUCAGGGAAAUGUCGGGGCUAGGACUGCGAGUGCCUAGCUCCAACUUUUCAGUAAAUGAUGUCCGAACUUGUGUUGGUUCUAAGAGAAUUUUGGAUGUGAUGGAUGUUAAUACUCAGAAGAAUGAAGACAUGACGAUGAAAGAUUGGCAAAAGUAUUAUGAGGAUCCUAACAAGGAGCGACUGUUGAAUGUGAUCUCCUUAGAGUUUAGUCAUACCAAAUUAGAGAAUUAUGUACAAUCACCUGCGUUGGUACGGCAAGUUGAUUGGGUCGACGUAGUAUGGCCAAGACACUUGAAAGAUGCUCAAGUGGAAUCAACUAACCUGUUGGAGGACAUGAUGUAUCCAAAAGUACAGAAGUAUUGUUUAAUGUCAGUGAAAGGAUGUUACACUGACUUCCAUGUUGAUUUUGGUGGUACCAGUGUAUGGUACCACAUUCUGCGCGGUGGUAAAAUCUUCUGGCUGAUUCCACCAACUGAAAAGAACCUGGCACUCUAUCAAGAGUGGGUGUUAAGUGGCAAACAGUCGGAUGUAUUUUUUGGUGAUAUGGUAGACAGAUGUGGCAGAAUAAGUCUAACAGCUGGUAUGACAUUAUUUAUACCAACUGGUUGGAUACAUGCUGUGUAUACUCCUCAAGAUUCUCUAGUUUUUGGUGGGAACUUCUUGCAUAGCUUUGGUAUAGAAAAACAAUUGAAAGUGGCGCAAGUAGAGGAGCAUACCAAAGUACCACAGAAAUUUCGGUAUCCAUUCUUUACAGAAAUGUUGUGGUAUGUUCUUGAACGGUAUGUGCAUGUACUCUUGGGUAGAAGUCACUUAGAAAUAGCUGAAUCACAGAAGCAACAUUCAGUUCCACCACAGCAUCAACACACACACAUUACUCCAUUUGAGUUACAUGGCUUAAAAGCAAUAGUUAUGUAUUUACAUUCUUUACCCUCAACGAAGAAAAAUGUGCCGGAACUCAUACGCGACCCGGUUGCUUUGAUUCAUGAUGUACGUUGUUUAGUGGAACAACAUCGGCAUGACAAUCCCGAAGCUGCUGUAACGGGAAAUGCCGUAUUACCAUCCCCACCACCACUCACCAUCGCCGACAGGGAACGAUUGAGAGUGGCGCGGAAGGGUUUCAUGAAAAUACCACCGAGACUUCCAUCGGAGAAAUCUGAGAGAGCAUUCCCGCGUAGAAGACGCACUAGAUGUAAGAAGUGCGAAGCUUGCACCAGACAGGAUUGUCGAGAAUGUGUAUACUGUCAGGAUAUGGUAAAAUUCGGUGGAUCUGGUCGCGCUAAACAAACGUGCCUGAUGCGCCAGUGCUUAAGGCCCAUGCUACCAGUGACAUCAGCCUGUAAAAUUUGCCAGUUGGACGGUUGGAGACAGCCGCCAGCACCGUUGAUGGGUAAACCAAUUCCCAACAUACCGUCGAAGUUAAUGGAAUGUUCAAUAUGCUUCGACAUCGUACAUCCGGAAUGUAUAGGUUUGAAUUCCGACGAAGUAACAACAGUUAAUGACGAUGUGCCGAAUAGUUGGGAGUGUCCUCAGUGUUGUGAACGAGGUCGAAAUGUAGAUUAUCGACCGCGUCAACAGAAAUCCCGUUCGCGAAAACUAUCAGUGUCGAGCGCGGGAUCGUCGGCGCCCACUUCGGAUUCCGAACGAGCUACAACGCCGAAUAAACAGCCAAGGAUGGAGGAGGUAAACGAUUCUCCUGCGGAAGCAGCUGACAACGAACGAAGAACAAUUAUGCGCAAUCACUUGGCAAUGCAAUUGAUCGCUGGAACUAGCAGAAAUCUAAUCAGGCCGCACGUGGUAGUCAGGCCUGCACCACCGCCACCUAUCCCGAAAUCAGAAGAAGACGGAUCAAAUCUAGCGUACGAUAAGACGGUGAUGCUGUCAGUGUUCCGAUAUCUUAACGUAAGAGAUCUGUUUAAUUGUGCCUUGGUCUGUCGUACCUGGGCGAGAUAUAGUAUAGAUCCCAAUUUAUGGAAGAAACUUGACAUGUCGCAUGUCCGCCUGGAGCCUUUGCAUUUGACCUUCAUCGUACGCAGACAACCGGAGAACCUGAAGCUCGAUUGGACCAACGUUAACAAGAAACAGCUGAUUUGGUUGUUGACUAGACUACCGCAAUUACGAACGUUAUCUCUUCAAGGUUGCGCCUGGACCGCAGUUUGCGGCUUGAGAACUUGCUGCUGUCCACCUCUGACAAUGCUGGACUUGAGUUAUGUUACCGGAUUAAACGACGCUAAUCUAAACGAGGUUCUGAGCCCACCAACGGAUUCACGACCUGGUCUCAUUGACAAGACGUCGAGAUUAAAGCACCUGAAACAUUUGUUCCUGGGUGGAUGCGAUAUUACUGAUCUCGGAGCUAGAUACAUAGUCGAGCAUCUGUCGUGCCUAGAAAGUUUAGAUUUAUCUUCGUGCGGUAGACUUACUGACAUGGGUGUGGCUCAACUAGCAACGCAGAAAUUGCCAAACUUGAUGUCGUUGAAUCUAGCCAGCUGCAGACUACUCACAGAAACCACCUUGGAUCACCUGGAACAGUGUAAAGCAUUGAAGCACCUAGAUCUACGGCACACUACUCAAGUAUCGACUCAGGCCGUUAUCAGGUUCGCAGCAAAGAGCGAACAUAACUUGCACGUGACGGAUGUGAAGCUGGUGGAAGAAAAGAAACCCGAAACUGAGGCCAUGAUAAUAUCAUGAAAAGGCCUCAAGUGGUGCUCGCGCGUAUUAUUGUUCAGUGCAAUCCGGUUCUGUUAACGCACGUAGAAAUCACUGCUUGCGUACGAACCGUAAUUGCAAAAUACUUGCGACUAGUGAGGAUUUUUAUUUUACACAAAAAGAUCGGUACAUGACGUGCAUCAUUAUAUGAUGUGACAGGAAAGACCUGACUAGCAUAAGAUUUCUAUUGUGGUGACACCCUUUACCGACAUAAGGCCAAACGUGGUCUUGGCGAAGACGAUUUUUUCGCGACUUGUACGUUAUUUUUCUUGUUUUUGAUUGCGAAAGCUUAUGUACUGUUUGAUUGUUUGAAUUGUACGAUUUUUUUAAGUUAUACCAUGCUUGAUUCUAAAUAUCUUUCGCCUGAAAGUAGUUUUUGUCCUUUAUAUUGCAUAAAAUUCAGUUUUGUUGUUUGUCUGGUAAACGUGAAGAAGAUAAUGUGGAAUGACGUUGGAAACUUAUUGCUUUUUUAAACGUGUCACCUUCAACAAAUUGUGAGCACUUCAUAAAGAAAUUAAUGUCUAUUAUUUUAUUUCUUUCUUUUUUUAUUCAGCGUGAGGUCAAGUCGGGUUGCUGAGACAAGUCGUAUUCAUCAAGAUCCGACAGAGAGUAUCUGUCACAAUGUACGGAAAGAUGUUCAUUAGCCGAAGCUAUUGGUCUUAUGCACAAGUAGUUGCCAUCUUAUGUGCGAUGGCUCUUAUGAUAACCAUGUGAGCGACAUAUGGCGUUUGUUUGCGUCAUGUUGGACAAAACGUAAAUUGGAACAAUGCGAUUCUGCCUGCGCUCAAGAGGAGUGACCGAUCGACCCACAUCAUCUUCUGAGAUUAUCGAUCUUUUCCGCCAACCUGAUUUUUAUUCACGUAAACUAAAACAUUGAAUUAUCGUUAAGAAUCUCUAGGAAAGUUCCUCUGCUCAACUAACAAUCUUUUAUUAAAAAAAAUAUCUUACAUCUUGAUAGCAAAGAAAGAAACGAGAUGAAGGGAAAACGAAUGAUUCUUCCGUCGCGGAAUAUCGAAUAUUUCGUGUCGGAUUUGUUUAAAAUGCGAUCUCCAAGAUUUUUAUUGUUUCAGCAAACGUACGAUAUUC